UACGUAGGGUCCAAGCGUUAUCCGGAAUCACUGGGCGUAAAGCGUGCGUAGGUGGCGCGUUAAGUGAGAUGUUAAAUCGUGUGGCUCAACCAUAUCGAUGCAUCUCAUACUGGCGUGCUAGAGGACAGCAGAGGCAAGUGGAAUUAGCAGUGUAGCAGUGAAAUGCGUGGAUAUCGAGAAGAACACUUAGGGCGAAGGCAAGACUCUGGACAAAUGCUGACGCUCAUGCACGAAGGCUAGGGUAGCGAACGGG
rnacentral:rRNA from 1 species